rnacentral:rRNA from 1 species
UACAGAGGUGGCUAGCGUUGUUCGGAUUUAUUGGGCGUAAAGGGUCCGUAGGUGGCCUGAAAAGUCGGAUGUGAAAGCCCACAGCUCAACUGUGGAACGGCAUUCGAAACUUUCAGGCUCGAGUGUGAAAGGGGUAAGGGGAAUUCCCGGUGUAAGGGUGAAAUCUGUAGAGAUCGGGAAGAACACCAGUCGCGAAGGCGCCUUACUGGUUCACAACUGACACUGAGGGACGAAAGCUAGGGGAG